ACCUGACUGGCUCCAGUCUGUGGAGCAUGAGACUCUUAAUCUCGGGGUUAUGAGUUCAAGCCCCAUGUUGGGUG
rnacentral:tRNA from 1 species